GUGCUUGCUUCGGCCGCACAUAUACUAUAGUUGGAAUGAUACAGAGAAGAUUAGUAUGGCCCCUGCACAAAGAAACAUUCCAUAUUUUUGUAUAAAUUUUU
ensembl:snRNA U6 U6 spliceosomal RNA